rnacentral:misc_RNA from 1 species
GAUGAAGAACGCAGCGAAAUGCGAUACUUGGUGUGAAUUGCAGAAUCCCGUGAACCAUCGAGUCUUUGAACGCAAGUUGCGCCUCAAGCCAUUAGGUUGAGGGCACGUCUGCCUGGGCGUCACAUAUCGUUGCCUGAUGCCAGUUUCCUCGUGAUGGGUGACUGUGCAGGGCGAAUGAUGGCUUCCCGUGAGCAUUGUUGCCUCAUGGUUGGUUGAAAAUUGAGUCCUUGGUAGGGAGCGCCGUGAUAGAUGGUGGUUGAGUGACGAACGAGACCCAAUCAUGUGAGACCCCUACCGAAUUUGGCCUUCAUGACCCACAUGCGUCUUUGGAACGCUCAUGACGAGACCUCAGGUCAGGCGGGGCUACCUGCUGAGUUUAAGCAUAUCAUAAGCGGAGGA